UGUGAAUUCCAGACUGCCAUGAAAGGAAAAAUAUGACUUUUGGCUGAAAAGUAAAACGCAAAGCUGCAAGGUUCAAUGUUUUCUAAGCGAACGAAACGAAAUGCGAAAUAAUGCAACCCAAGCUGCGAAACAAGCGGUGCUUUGCGACAAUAGACAUACAAUUUCACGUUGGCUCGACCUACCGGAUAAUUAAGCAGCACUUGGGACGAACUGAUCUGAAUUGAUCUGGUUUCUCAUGCUAUCUGCACUGCACUGCACGGAGAGUUUCCAAAAUGGAAAUCUAAUAACAUGCUCAAGUGGGCAAAAGAUUUUAUGGAACAAUGGAACUUUCCAAACUGCAUUGGUGCUAUCGAAGGAAAGCACGUUGCGAUCAAGGCACCACCCAAAAGCUGUAGCGCUUUUUACAAUUAUAAAGGCUUUCACUCAAUUGCGCUCAUGGCGGUUUGUGACGCUUCAUAUAGGUUCACGUACAUGGACGUUGGUGUUUGCGGGAGUGAAGGUGAUAUGAAUGCCUUUUCACAUUGUUCGCUUGGAAAAGCCAUUUGAUCGGGCAAUAUCUCAUUUCCGGAGGAUAGCAUGCUGCAGGGAGUAUCUACUCCAUACUAUAUUGUUGCGGAUGAUGCAUUCCCGUUCCAUAAGCGCAUAAUGAAACCAUAUGGGUCUAGAAACCAGUUCACAUAAGAAAGGAUUUUCAACUACCGGCUAAGUCGAGCUCGUCGUUGCAUUGAGAAUGCAUUCGGGAUUCUUAGCAAUAGGUGGAUGGCUGUUCAAGAAACUUUUCGGUGUGGCCCAAACAGAGCGCAAAAUAUAACUUCGGCAUGCUGUUUUUUGCACAAUUAUAUGAUGCGAGUAUGCCCAAGAAAUUAUGGCGCCAUGGUUGAAGGCCUUUUAAUUGAAAGCCCAGCAGACACAGAUGCUUUUCGUGGUCGGGUUCAGGACCUACCCCAAAUUUAUUAGAAAUAAUAUAAAGGAUUUUGUCAACUCUGCAGACGGAUCAGUACUUUGGCAUAAUGAAUCUGCUGGUGUGCGCCAAUA